CCUACGGGUGGCUGCAGUGGGGAAUAUUGCACAAUGGGGGGAACCCUGAUGCAGCGACGCCGCGUGAGUGAAGAAGUAUUUCGGUCUGUAAAGCUCUAUCAGCAGGGAAGAAAAUGACUGUCCCUUACUAAGAAGCCCCGGCUAACUACGUGCAAGCAGCCGCGGUAAUACGUAGGGGGCACGCGUUUUCCGGAUUUACUGGGUGUAAAGGGAGCGUUGACGGUAGAGCAAGUCUGAAGGGAAAGCCCGCGGCCCAACGGCAGGACUGCCUUGGAAACUGCCCGGCUAGAGUGCUGGAGAGGUAAGCGGAAUUCCUAGUGUAGCGGUGAAAUGCGUAGAUAUUAGGAGGAACACCAGUGGCGAAGGCGGCUUACUGGACAGUAACUGACGUUGAGGCUCGAAAGCGUGGGGAGCAAACAGGAUUAGAUACCCUUGUAGUC
rnacentral:rRNA from 1 species